CAAUAGCGUAUAUCUAAGUUGUUGCAGUUAAAAAGCUCGUAGUUGGAUUUCGGAUGGGACUUGCCGGUCCGUCGUUUCGAUGUGCACUGGCCAGUCCUAUCUUGUUGUCGGGGACUAGCUCCUGGGCUUCACUGUCCGGGACUAGGAGCUGACGAGGUUACUUUGAGUAAAUUAGAGUGUUCAAAGCAAGCCUACGCUCUGAAUACAUUAGCAUGGAAUAACACGAUAGGACUCUGGCUUAUCUUGUUGGUCUGUGAGACCAGAGUAAUGAUUAAGAGGGACAGUCGGGGGCAUUCGUAUUUCAUUGUCAGAGGUGAAAUUCUUGGAUUUAUGAAAGACGAACUUCUGCGAAAGCAUUUGUCAAGGAUGUUUUCAUUAA
rnacentral:rRNA from 1 species